rnacentral:rRNA from 1 species
GAUGAACGCUGGCGGCGUGCCUAAUACAUGCAAGUCGAGCGAAUGGAUUGAGAGCUUGCUCUUAUGAAGUUAGCGGCGGACGGGUGAGUAACACGUGGGUAACCUGCCCAUAAGACUGGGAUAACUCCGGGAAACCGGGGCCAAUACCGGAUAACAUUUUGAACCGCAUGGUUCGAAAUUGAAAGGCGGCUUCGGCUGUCACUUAUGGAUGGACCCGCGUCGCAUUAGCUAGUUGGUGAGGUAACGGCUCACCAAGGCAACGAUGCGUAGCCGACCUGGGAGGGUGAUCGGCCACACUGGGACUGAGACACGGCCCAGACUCCUACGGGAGGCAGCAGUAGGGAAUCUUCCGCAAUGGACGAAAGUCUGACGGAGCGACGCCGCGUGAGUGAUGAAGGCUUUCGGGUCGUAAAACUCUGUUGUUAGGGAAGAACAAGUGCUAGUUGAAUAAGCUGACACCUUGACGGUACCUAACCAGAAAGCCACGGCUAACUACGUGCCAGCCGCCGCGGUAA